rnacentral:lncRNA from 1 species
AGGUUGAUAUAAUACGUAUAUAUACCCAAAGAGCUUUACUCGAGAAGAAUAUGGAUGAAUAAGUUUGAUGAUCUAACAGUGUAAGGGAAGAUUUACAUUAAUUUACCAUGAUCUACGCAAUUUUAUCUAUCUAAUAUUUAUAGCCGUCUUUAAAAUGUUGGAAAUCCACAUACCAAGAAAUCUAUGUUUUCUUUCAGGAUUCUAGAUCACAUCUAGAGGGCUAUCUUUUUGGUGGAUAUUAGCCAAUUGAAGCUAUGCAUCACUGACCCUUACAAUGUUAAAUGGUCUAAAGGAGUGUAAAUGAUUGCUUGGAUCGCUCGAUUUCCUUGAAUAAAAUGGCCAAAAUGUUUAAAAGAUUUAUAACUCAAGGGAUCAAGUAGGAAAUCUCCAUGCAUGCCUACCAAUUUACAGAGUUGUAUAUUUUGUAGCUCAGAGAGAGAAAGAGAGAGAGAGAAUCAAGCUUAUCUCCAUGUCGGGAUGUGAAGGUGCAUAUAGAAAGAGAGGAAGAUGUAGAGAAGAUCUUUGAGACAUGCCUGAAGUUAACAGAAUCUUUGAUUUGAUAUAACUGAAUACAUCCUUUGACAACUUGCACGCUAAGAAAAUCAUUGCCUUUUAUUCAUUGUGAUUAGAUGAAAAUACCUCCCUCAUAGUGCAGUUAAUUACAAAAGCAAGAUAGACAAGAAACUUGAUAGAACGAAACAGUCCAAGAGACAAUAAACAGAAAUAUGGUUACAUUUCAAGCUUAGGUGCUAUGGAAGGCAUGCAUAUACCAAAAGGGAGGUGAAAAAUCUAAUCAGGUGGCUGUUGAUGACUUAGGGUGAGAUUUCCUACAGACAUUGUGAGCUACUUGAGCCAAGAUUGAGGACUUUCAAAGACGGCAAAAAAUUCCCAAAUUUUCACUACAAAAACUACAAUUAAUCCUAAUAAUAUAAAACGGGUAUUUUAACAAGUUUAUUUUUUUUCAUAUACUGUCAAAUAUGGAUAAUCAAGCCAUCCACGAAUAUACCAAUCACCUAUAAUCUUUAGAUUCUUUACAGCAAAUUAGAUGCCAACCCAUCUUGAACUGUGCAUAAAUUAAGAAAGCUAAAUUAUAUAUAUUAAGGAAAUGGAGUUCAACUUUAACAAUUCUUGGAGAAGGAAGAAAUUUAUGAAACCUCAUGAAACCACCAGGUGAACCAACAAUGAGGCAAAAGGCGGGGAAUGUUUCAAUCCUGCUAGUAAUAGAUAUCACAAGCUAUGUUGAAACCAUCCUCUUAAACAUGGGGUAUAAUUUUUCUGGAGCUAAUUAUAACAUGUAUAUGGCAUCUGGCCCUGCAAUAUCUUCAUAUCAUGAAUUUGACAACAGACAUCGACCAUGGUAGGUGAUAAGCACGUAGCAUUAAAUAGAAAACAUUGACAGAAGAAAAAAGGUGUUGAAUGAGUCCAAAUAGGGUGAAUUGACGGGAAGAAAAAGGAUACAGGUAAGAUGCGUAUAUACCUGUCCCUAGAAUAUCUUAAUAUCUUCAGAUCUAGAAUAUGACAACAGAGACGUCAACCAUGAUAGGAAUAAGCGUGUAGCCUUAAAUAGAGAAUAUUAGAGGAAGAAAAAUAGGUAUUCAAAGAGUCCAAACAUGAUGACUGGCCAGUAGGAAAAAAAUUAAACUCGGUUAAAUGUACACCUUGAGCAGUAUUGCAUGUAAUAUCAGGUCCCGGAAGCAGAGAAACCUUUAGGUCCCUUGUUCUAUCAUUGACAUGAUUUCCACCCCUUCCGCUAUUAGCAUACAUGCAUUUAUAGAAUAUUUAUAGUAAUGAAGCUCAAAUUAGAGUAUUCUUUUCCUCAGAUCACUUAUAUGGAUUAAGUAUAGGUUAGUUGAGUCUUGUAAAUCAGUAAGCACAUUCUUCCUCAAAUUGUUUAUCCGUCAACAAUAGUUCGAUAACUCGAACAAGUAAAUUAGGGGAUGGUGUUGUUUGCCAUGAGUAUCUCAUAUACUUUUCUCUCAUCCUGUUGUCCUCAGAGAGUUCUCUUCCUCCUUGGGCAUGCAGAAUAUUAAAACAAGCCCAGUCUUCACUAUUACCUCAGAACAGGUUGAUGAACAAAUUUUCAACAGACAUUGUCACCAGCUCACCAUCCUUUUCUCACAGCAAACUCCUCCCAGCUCAACACAAGAUGCUUUCCUCCAGUGGCCCCUCUCAUUUGUAACAUGGGUUGUCCCCAAAAAAUAUGUUGUUCAGAAGAAAAAAAAACAUGGGUUGUGAAAACAGAUGUUUGCUAAACCUCACAAUAUAAACUGAUGCAUUUGCACAACCCGCUAUAGAAGACAUUACUCAUUUAGUAAGAUGCAUCAUCCAUACUAAAUUGUAUCUUCUUGAUAUAGUUGAUUUUGUCAAACCUUGAUGCAACAAAUGUAACAUCAAGAUCGCCUAACAGCUCUACUAUCCAAAGAAGUACUUGGUGAUCACCUUGUUAUGUCAGUUGCAAUAAUUGAUGAAACAAACAACAUAUAUCUUCUCUAAAAUGUUACAUGAAAUUUACGGAGCAAGUAACAAAUAUAAUGCAACUUUCCCAACGCAUAAGAUCAAGAUUCAAGCUAAUGCAAUAACAAAGGAAAUGCCCUAGAUAAACACUCCAAAGUCUACAAACUCUUACAAUAUGCAAUCCACAUGCUUCCUCGUAUAAGGAUAGAAGAAUGCAUGCCGUUGACAUGCAAAACAUCCACAUGCUUGCACAUACGAAGCCAUUUGCAGCAAAUAGGUGCAGGCAUGUAUGUUUAUUAGGUAGCCAAUCUACAAGAAAAAGAAGGAUCAAGGAAAUGCUCAAGGAUGCCUCAUGAAGAGCAGUCACAACCAGUGAGAAGUACCAAGUAGCUGGAGAAUAAGAGUCAAAACAGUGUAAUGUUGUUGAUAGGGUAGCUCUGCAGGUAAGCUAAUACGGCACUAAAAAGAGCAGAAGUAUCAUGGUUUUGUAACCAAAGAUAGUGAUGAAGAAGUUAAAAAUUAUGGAAUCCAAAAGAACAAAAUUGUUUUGGAUGACAAGCAUAUUCAGAGUAGACAGGGAGAUAGAAUCAGUGGAGAAAAGGUUGAUAUAAUACAUAUAUAUACCCAAAGAGCUUUACUCGAGAAGAAUAUAGAUGAAUAAGUUCAAUGAUCUAACAGUGUAAGGGAAGAUUUACAUUAAUUUACCAUGAUCUACGCAAUAUAAUCUAUCUAAUAUUUAUAGCCGUCUUUCAAAUGUUGGAAAUCCACAUACCAAGAAAUCUAUGUUUUCUUUCAGGAUUCUAGAUCACAUCUAGAGGGCUAUCUUUUUGGUGGAUAUUAGCCAAUUGAAGCUAUGCAUCACUGACCCUUACAAUGUUAAAUGGUCUAAAGGAGUGUAAAUGAUUGCUAGAAUCGCUAGAUUUCCUUGAAUAAAAUGGCCAAAAUGUUUAAAAGAUUUAUAACUCAAGGGAUCAAGUAGGAAAUCUCCAUGCAAGCCUACCAAUUUACAGAGUUGGAUAUUUUGUAGCUCAGAGAGAGANNNNNNNNNNNNNNNNNNNNAGAGAGAGAGAGAGAGGGAGAGAAUCAAGCUUAUCUCCAUGUCAGGAUGUGAAGGUGCAUAUAGAAAGAGAGGACGAUGUAAAGAAGAUCUUUGAGGCAUGCCUGAAGUUAACAGAAUCCUUGAUUUGAUAUAACUGAAUACAUCCUUUGAUAACUUGCACGCUAAGAAAAUCAUUGCCUUUCGUUCAUUGUGAUUAGAUGAAAAUACCUCCCUCAUAGUGCAGUUGAUUACAAAAGCAAGAUAGUCAAGAAACUUGAUAGAACAAAACAGUCCAAGAGACAAUAAACAGAAAUAUGGUAACAUUUCAAGCUUAGGUGCUAUGGAAGGCAUGCAUAUACCAAAAGGGAGGUGAAAAAUCUAAUCAGGUGGCUGUUGAUGAUUUAGGGUGAGAUUUCUCACAGACACUGUGAGCUAGUUGAGCCAAGAUUGAGGACUUUCAAAGACAGCAAAAAGUUCCCAAAUUUUCACCACAAAAACUACAAUCAAUCCUAAUAAUAUAAAACGGGUAUCCUAACGAGUUUUUUUUUUUUUCAUAUACUGUCAAAUAUGGGUAAUCAAGCCGUCCACGAAUCAACCAAUCACCUAUAAUCUUUAGUUUCUUUACAGCAAAUUAGAUGCCAACCCAUCUUGAACUUUGUAUAAAUUAAGAAAGCUAAAUUAUAUAUCUUAAGGACAUGGAGUUCAACUUUAACAAUUCUUGGAGACGGAAGAAAUUUAUGAAACCUCAUGGAACCACCAGGUGAACCAACAAUGAGGCAAAAGGUGGGGAAUGUUUCAAUCCUGCUAGUAAUAGACAUCACAAGCAUUGUUGAAACCAUCCUAUUAAACAAAAUUCCAUAUGCAAGAAAAUGGUCCAAAUUUUGACACCCUGCCACAAGAAGAAGCAUAUUUCAAAUGGAAAUGCAAAACUCCAUACCCUAUCCAUCUAACCACACCAAUAACACCACCCGUGGUACAAGAACUUAACUGAAGAAAGGCCCUUUCACUUCCCACCCUUUGCUGCUAAAUGCUAAAUGCCCUUCUCUUCCCUAACCUCUCUCA